rnacentral:rRNA from 1 species
AUGCAGCCAUGCCGCGUGUGUGAAGAAGGCCUUCGGGUUAGUAAAGCACUUUCAGUAGGGAGGAAGGUAGUGUAGUUAACACCUGCAUUAUUUGACGUUACCUACAGAAGAAGCACCGGCUAACUCCGUGCCAGCAGCCGCGGUAAUACGGAGGGUGCGAGCGUUAAUCGGAAUUACUGGGCGUAAAGCGCAUGCAGGCGGCCUGUUAAGUCAGAUGUGAAAGCCCCGGGGCUUAACCUCGGAAUUGCAUUUGAAACUGGCAGGCUAGAGUCUUGUAGGAGGGGGUAGAAUUUCAGGUGUAGCGGUGAAAUGCGUAGAGAUCUGAAGGAAUACCAGUGGCGAAGGCGGCCCCCUGGACAAAGACUGACGCUCAGAUGCGAAAGCGUGGGGAGCAAACAGGAUUAGAUACCCCUGGUAG